rnacentral:rRNA from 1 species
AGAGCUUCGGCAGGAAUUUAAUAAAUCUUAGUGGCGGACGGGUGAGUAACGUGUGGGCAACCUGCCUUAUACUGGGGAAUAAUCACUGGAAACGGUGACUAAUACCGCAUAAUGUCUUUUUACGGCAUCGUAAGAAGAAGAAAGGAGCAAUCCGGUAAAAGAUGGGCCCGCAUCUGAUUAGCUAGUUGGUGAGAUAACAGCCCACCAAGGCGACGAUCAGUAGCCGACCUGAGAGGGUGAUCGGCCACAUUGGGACUGAGACACGGCCCAAACUCC